CGGUCCUAAGGUAGCGAAAUUCCUUGUCGGGUAAGUUCCGACCUGCACGAAUGGCAUAACGAUGGCCACACUGUCUCCUCCCGAGACUCAGUGAAGUUGAAAUGUUUGUGAUGAUGCAAUCUACCCGCGGCUAGACGGAAAGACCCCAUGAACCUUUACUGCAGCUUUGCAUUGAACUGUGAACCGAUUUGUGUAGGAUAGGUGGGAGGCAGAGAAGAGGCCACGCCAGUGGUCUUGGAGCCGACCUUGAAAUACCACCCUGAUUUGUUUGCGGUUCUAACCACGGACAGUGAUCCUGUCUUGGGACCGUGCAUGGCAGGCAGUUUGACUGGGGCGGUCUCCUCCUAAAGGGUAACGGAGGAGUACGAAGGUACGCUAGGUACGGUCGGAAAUCGUGCUGAUAGUGCAAUGGCAAAAGCGUGCUUGACUGCGAGAGCAACAACUCGAGCAGAUGCGAAAGCAGGUCAUAGUGAUCCGGUGGCUCUGAAUGGAAGGGCCAUCGCUCAACGGAUAAAAGGUACUCUGGGGAUAACAGGCUGAUACCGCCCAAGAGUUCAUAUCGACGGCGGUGUUUGGCACCUCGAUGUCGGCUCAUCUCAUCCUGGGGCUGUAGUCGGUCCCAAGGGUAUGGCUGUUCGCCAUUUAAAGAGGUACGUGAGCUGGGUUUAAAACGUCGUGAGACAGUUUGGUCCCUAUCUGCCGUGGGCGUUGGAAGAUUGACGGGGGCUGCUCCUAGUACGAGAGGACCGGAGUGGACGCACCUCUGGUGUACCGGUUGUCACGCCAGUGGCAUUGCCGGGUAGCUAAGUGCGGAAGAGAUAACCGCUGAAAGCAUCUAAGCGGGAAACUUGCCUGAAGAUGAGUCUUCCCGGAGGUUGAACCUCCCUCAAGAGUCGUCCGAGACCAGGACGUCGAUAGGUCAGGUGUGUAAGCGCUGUAAGGCGUUGAGCUAACUGAUACUAAUUGCUCGUGAGGCUUGAUCCU
rnacentral:rRNA from 1 species